rnacentral:rRNA from 1 species
AGAAUCAACGCUGGCGGCGUGCCUAACACAUGCAAGUCGCACGAGAAAGGGGAGCAAUCCCUGAGUACAGUGGCGCACGGGUGAGUAACACGUGAAUAAUCUACCUCCGAGUGGGGAAUAACUGAGAGAAAUCUUAGCUAAUACCGCAUAACACUUACGAGUCAAAGCAGCAAUGCGCUUGGAGAGGAGUUCGCGGCCGAUUAGUUAGUUGGCGGGGUAAUGGCCCACCAAGACGAUGAUCGGUAUCCGGCCUGAGAGGGCGCACGGACACACUGGAACUGAAACACGGUCCAGACUCCUACGGGAGGCAGCAGUGGGGAAUUUUGCGCAAUGGGGGAAACCCUGACGCAGCAACGCCGCGUGGAGGAUGAAAUAUCUUGGUAUGUAAACUCCUUUCGAUGGGGAAGAUUAUGACGGUACCCAUAGAAGAAGCCCGGCUAACUUCGUGCCAGCAGCCGC